rnacentral:rRNA from 1 species
UAGGGAAUCUUCGGCAAUGGACGCAAGUCUGACCGAGCAACGCCGCGUGAGUGAAGAAGGUUUUCGGAUCGUAAAACUCUGUUGUUCGAGAAGAACAAGGACGUUAGUAACUGAACGUCCCCUGACGGUAUCUAACCAGAAAGCCACGGCUAACUACGUGCCAGCAGCCGCGGUAAUACGUAGGUGGCAAGCGUUUUCCGGAUUUAUUGGGCGUAAAGCGAGCGCAGGCGGUUUCUUAAGUCUGAUGUGAAAGCCCCCGGCUCAACCGGAGAGGGUCAUUGUAAACUGGGAGACUCGAGUGCAGAAGAGGAGAGUGGAAUUCCAUGUGUAGCGGUGAAAUGCGUAGAUAUAUGGAGGAACACCAGUGGCGAGGGCGGCUCUCUAGUCUGUAACUGACGCUGAGGAUCGAAGGCGUGGGGAGCAAACAGG